CCUACGGGAGGCAGCAGUGGGGAAUAUUGGGCAAUGGAGGCAACUCUGACCCAGCAACGCCGCGUGAAUGAUGAAGUUCUUCGGAUUGUAAAGCUCUGUGAUGGGGGAUGAACACAACGAUGGUACCCUAAUAGCAAGCCACUGCGAACUACCGUCCAGCCGCCGCAGUAAUACGUAGGUGGAAAGGGUUCUACUGAAUGACUGGGCGUAAAGGGUGCGUAGGUGGAUUAGUAAGUUGGCGGUGUAAUUCCAGGGCUCAACCCCGGCACUGCCGCCCAAACUGGUCGGCUAGAGUGCAGGAGAGGUAAGUGGAAUUCCUAGUGUAGCGGUGAAAUGCGUAGAGAUUAGGAGGAACAUCAGGGGCGAAGGCGACUUACUGGACUGUAACUGACACUGAGGCACGAAAGCGUGGGGAGCAAACAGGAUUAGAUACCCCAGUAGUC
rnacentral:rRNA from 1 species